rnacentral:rRNA from 1 species
CAGUAGAAUUUUUUUAAAAAGAUUAUUGAUAUUUUCUGCCCGGUGUAAUUUAUUAACGGCCGCAGUACCUUGACUGUGCUAAGGUAGCAUAAUCAAUUGGCUAUUAAUUGUAGUCUGGAAUGAAAGAAGUAAUGAAUAGUAGCUAUAAUAAUUAGUAUUUUUUUAAUUUGAUUAUCUGGUGAAAAUACCAGUAAAUUAGAAAAAAGACGAGAAGACCCUUAGAAUUUUUAAAGAAAAGUGUAAAUUUUUCUAAAAUUUAAAAACAGAAAAUAGAUUACAUCCUAAUUUUUUGUUGGGGCGACAAGAAAACAAAACUUUUAAAAACUUUUCUAAAAUUUAUUUUUUUAAAUAAAAUUUAUUGAGAUUUUAUAUGACGAAAUUUUUAUGAAUAACUAAAUUACCUUAGGGAUAACAGCAUAAUGAUAAAUUUAUUUAGUUUGUGACCUCGAUGUUGGACUAGGAACUUUACCACUANCAGUGUAAAAAGAA